AUUGAACGCUGGCGGCAGGCCUAACACAUGCAAGUCGAGCGGAUGAAGGGAGCUUGCUCCUGGAUUCAGCGGCGGACGGGUGAGUAGUGCCUAGGAAUCUGCCUGGUAGUGGGGGAUAACGUCCGGAAACGGGCGCUAAUACCGCAUACGUCCUGAGGGAGAAAGUGGGGGAUCUUCGGACCUCACGCUAUCAGAUGAGCCUAGGUCGGAUUAGCUAGUUGGUGGGGUAAAGGCCUACCAAGGCGACGAUCCGUAACUGGUCUGAGAGGAUGAUCAGUCACAUGGGAGGUGGGACAGCGACAAGACUCCUACGAGACGGACCAGUCGCCAAUAUUAGGCAGCAGUGGGAAAUAUGGUCCAACCGUGCCGAGUCUGUUACAGAGAUCUUCGGAUUGUAAAGAACUCUUUGUUGGGAGAAAGCGCAGUAAGUUGAUACGUUGCUGUUUUGACGUUAACGGGAAAAUAAGCACCGGCUAACUUCGUG
rnacentral:rRNA from 1 species